AUACGGAGGGUGCAAGCGCUGUUCGGAAUUAUUGGGCGUAAAGCGCGUGUAGGCGGUUGUUUAAGUCUGAUGUGAAAGCCCUGGGCUCAACCUGGGAAGUGCAUUGGAAACUGGACAACUUGAGUACGGGAGAGGGUAGUGGAACUCCGAGUGUAGGGGUGAAAUCCGUAGAUAUUCGGAGGAACACCGGUGGCGAAGGCGGCUACCUGGACCGAUACUGACGCUGAGACGCGAAAGCGUGGGGAGC
rnacentral:rRNA from 1 species